AAAAAUCCCUAAAUUAAAUCCUCCAUUCUUCUUCUUCAAAAAUCUCUAAAUUAAACCCUCCAUUUUUCUUUUUCUUCGUCAGUUCAUUCAACCCCACCAAUCAAAAUCCUUACCUCCUAGGUAGGCAAAUUCUUCACCAUCUCCGGUCUCCGGUCGCUCCAAAAUUGGUGUUCCUUCUGGCCGGCGCCACUUUGUCCUGUUCAGUCAUGACCUCGACUUUUCUGCAUCUCCCAAGUUUGUCCCGAAAUACUGAGUAAUAUAUAUAUAUAUGUAUGUAUAUAUAUAUAAAGAUAGUCAAAUCA
rnacentral:lncRNA from 1 species